rnacentral:lncRNA from 1 species
CCCUCCCAUUCUCAAAUCUAAUCUGACCAUCCAAAUCGACUCCCACCCCCUUCUCAUUUAGAAAAUUAGGGUUUGUGAGAGCAAUAUGAGAAGCCGUAUGUGAAGAAUAUGACGUGUUUGUGCAUCUAUCUUUAGAUCCCAAUCCCUAAACCUAACAUUCUGAUCGUUCGAUUUAAACCCAUGGAACCUAAUGUCUAUGAACCGAUUGAAGCUCAGAAAAUCAGUUCUCGAAAAUGGAAGGAAAACGAAGCGUUGCCAGGUUGAAUAAUCAAAAGUUGCAGAUUUAAGCGACAAACAAUUAAAGUUCUCACGAUGAAGGUAUUAAGAUAAACAAAAAUCACAGCCUCCUCUGCCCUUUACAAUAUUCUAAUUGUGAUAUUCUGUUGGUUGUGAUAAUCUAACGUUCUUCCAGUUAUGAGUUAUGUGUUGAUGUUUCUUUCAAAAUUUUGUUUUUGUUGGCUUAAUUUUGAUAGACUUGUGCAGCAAUAGCCUACGCAGUAUGCAACGUGUGUAUAACAUAGUAUUGAUCAGUCCAUUGUUAGUGCUUCUAUCUACCUUUUUUAUUUAGCGAUUGGGGCGACAACGUUUCAAGGCGAUGUUUGCUUAUUUCAUGACUUAGAAAAUGGAGGAUGAACCAAGUUUUAACCCUUUUUGGUUUUUAGAUCAUGUUGGUGUUACCACUUCCCGUGUUCAUCUUUAAGGGGGGCUAUCAGCUAUGGAUGAAUUUGGAUUGAGAUCUAUUCCCAAUUUGCAUAAUAUAUAUAUCGGCACUUGUUUCCUUAUCAUCAAGGUAUACGGAUUUUAAUAUUGCAUUCUAUUGAUUAUUUAGUUAGAUACUUAGGUCUAUGAGGUACCCAACGAGUCUAUGUUUGUCUUUCAAUGUGUUGACAAGAGUUCAGGAAGCCGUUUGAUCUAUUAUAAUUAUUGUUUGACAGGUUGGGCGGCAGGGGUGUAUCAAACUUACAUAGAUGGCUGUACAAGGCAAAGACCAAGGCUACAAUCUUGUUCUAGAAUUCAAUGGAGCAAUUUUGGUGUUGUAAAAGAUCAAAGUAACUCGUCUUCAGAGUUUUGGACCUUGCAACGGGUCUUGUGCCAAACCUAGGACCAACGUGUCUGAAUCUGCAACAUGUGGUGGUCAAAGCCAAGUUGUAUCUUUAUCUCUAUUUAUCUGGUUUUAGUUCCUUGUAUUUGUAGAAUUUGUACAUUUUUGUAAAUUGAUAUGAAUUUAUUGAAUAGGAUUUGUAAAUCUAUUUAGCAUCAAACUUGU